rnacentral:rRNA from 1 species
UACGUAGGCAGCAAGCGUUGUUCGGAAUUACUGGGCGUAAAGGGUGCGUAGGCGGUGCUCUAAGUUUGGUGUGAAAUCUCCCGGCUUAACUGGGAGGGUGCGCCGAAAACUGGAGCGCUGGAGUGCGGGAGAGGAAAGCGGAAUUCCUGGUGUAGCGGUGAAAUGCGUAGAGAUCAGGAGGAACACCUGCGGUGUAGACGGCUUUCUGGACCGUAACUGACGCUGAGGCACGAAAGCGUGGGUAGCAAAUAGG